rnacentral:lncRNA from 1 species
AAAAAACCCCAUCACGUUCGGCACCUGGAGUGUUUGCUGUACUUUCUGUUACGUGUGCCAGCGCCUCUGUUUAACUGAGUUGACGAUGAAAGUAUUGAACAAGCAAAGAAUUGCUCAACUCCCUCGCCCUUCUAGAUUUCCCAUCAAGUUAAGAGGACGCAUCACGUUCAGUUUUGUCCUCUCAGGGUCUUACAUGCAUGUUCUAUCUUAGACCAACGGACACACAUCUUAAAGAUUAAACUCAUGUCCUCAUGAUUCAUGUAACGCAAAGAUGGCUUCCUCUGAUAUUAACACAUACUGGAAUAUUCUUCCAUGGCGUUAACAUUUUAGAGAACUUGCAGUGAAAGCUUUUCAUCUUUAACUUCCGCAGAUUGAAGAUGCCGCUUGCCCUGAAGGCUUUGGCCAAAGGACAGAUUACAAAACAAGAUACUGGGAGAUUAGGACACAGACACAGAGGGAAGACCUCAUGAGGACACAAAGAGAAGACAGCCAUCUACAAGUCAAGGAGAGAGGCCUCAGAAGAAAUGCUGCCAACACCUUGAUCUCAGACUUCUAGCCUCCAGAACUGUGUGGAAACUGAGGCUUGGGGAGAAGAGUCUUGUCCAAUGCCACACGGGCAG